UUGAUUUCUGAUUAAGCUAUUCCUUGAAUCUUUUAUUACUUUCUUGUUUUCAGUUAUUCAAAUCGGUGAUUACUCUCUUUCGCUUCUCUUCUUUCCAUUUUUAAAAAAAUCUCAGGAUAUAUGCGACGAGGUUCGAUCGGUAACAUCAGCUCCACAGGAACCUUCACGCCGCUUUCGGAACCACCAAAUGGCAGUUAGAUGAGUUCCAACGACCUGUUCAAUCUAGCUAUGACAAUGGUUUGAAAGGCGAAAAUCGAGACAGGCAUCGUGAGUUUACUUUCGACUCAUGUUGUGAAGAUAGAAAAGUCUCACAGAGAAGCGGGCAAAGGAAAUCCGAGAUGGGUUUGUUUGAACGAAGAUGAUCGUAAUGAGCUUGCCCUUUCCUUGGCUGGACCAUCUGACCCUGAAAGGAAACAACUUUCCACAAAUGGUGUUAAAGUAAAUCAGCUUCAAGGACAUAGAAGGACGGCGAGUGCUACUAAUGAUAUCGGUGCUUGGAUUGCGGUUUCUAAUGAUGGGGUACUCCACAAAGCUUUGGGGAGCCAUUUGUCCGACCUCCACGAAAAGUUCCCAGCUUCUCUGGCUUCUUAAACUAUAUGGAGUCUGGCUACAAAAAAAAAAUCGUUAGAAAGUGUAAGGCCUUAGAUUGUUACCUAUCCAAACUAUCCGAGCAAGAUCUUCCAACGUAAGAUCAUUACCACGCCUAAAUCAUCUAUUCUACUCGCUACUUCUACCGUCGAGGUGUGACUGCUCAGGAUUUGGGAAGAAAGAAACGUGAAACCCGCUGGCGAGCUUUACGUAACCACUGGGAUGUCACUGCUCGAUUCUUCAACGACACGGAGCUUCCCAUCCGGAGUUGACUCCACCGUAGACAACGAUCAAGGAACAUUGAGUCUGGUCAAAGCAAGCGGCGAAGGUACCAAAAUUAGGAAAACCUGCAGAGGAGGAGGCGGAGGAAAGACUGAUGUAAGGUACAAGUAUCGGCAGUCGGUACCAGCUCCUCGGUGUGAGGGAGAGUCCACUCAGAUAUAACGAAAUCUUCAAACAAGAUGACGCCGAAGCUGGCGCAACCACCGCCGCGAAUGGCCCAGAACAAAUCUUCACCCAUGGAGGCACGGUUCAAGAUCUUGCCGUUGACAUCAACUAACUGAGCAUCGACCACAUGAUCCACCGAGAUUCCGUAUUUUCUCAUCAGGUUUCCGUACCCUCCGCCGCUGAUGUGUCCUCCAGCUCCUAGAGUGGGACAAACGCCAGCCGGAAACGCUAACGGUUUACUCGCUUCAGAGAUUUUUGUGUAGAGCUCUCCCAGGGUCGCACCAGCUUGAACCCAAGCUUUCUUGCCGGACACGUCAACGGUAAUAGAACUUAGAUUGUUUAUAUAGAGAACAGCAACCACAGGGAAGAGGUGUAUGAAAGGCCUUCAUAGUCGUGACCGCCGCUUCGGAUACGGAUCUGGACUCGGUUGGACUUAGCGCAUACCACGGUUGCUUGAACAUGGGAUUCAUGUUUUGCGGCAACAGGUUUGUGUCGUUAGGGUUUGAGUACCUUUUGUUUUUCGUGUAGGACACGUAAGACGAGGCGAAGGUUGAGUUUUGGGGAGUAAAGAUGGCUUUUGUGUUCGGAUUCUUUGGAUCGCUACGAUCACGGAGGCACUGGAGGAAGUUUCCAAUAUUUGGUUUCUGUACUACUGCUUGUGAUGAAACUGAAACAAGCAGAGCAAGAAACAUAACAAAAACUACUUUUAUUGGCAUUGCGAUUUAUAUAUAAAAAAACUCUACAGAGAAAAUUAAUUCUAGAGUCUAUUUUUGGUCAAAUGGGUUUUACUUUUAAUUGUAAAGCUAAGAAAUCUGGAAACUGAAUUAAUGAAGGAAUUAAAUACAAGAGAUUAGUGAAAACUUUCAUUAGUGUAUAUUCAAGAAAGAAACAGACAGUUUGAUGAAAAGUUAUGAUUUAUUAAGUGAGGUGAAACUUCAUUAGUAUAUUCAAGAAACAUACCUUUUGUUUGAUGAAAAUCUGUUAUGAUUUAAUUUUAGUGAUUAAAUUUUAAGAUUUUCAAAUCUACAAUAUUAUCUUCUCUUUCUCUUUUUGAACUUUGUGUUGAUUUUCUCUCCUACAUUUGUUGCAGAAUGGUGCAUGGUUAUGCUUACUCUGUAUAUGAAUGCUACAAGAUUAUUGUAAAGAACGGGCCUGAGCAGCUUUGCCUUGGAUGCCAAUAUUGUUAUAUGUUUGUUUAUUCUUUCCUCUGUUCAAAAACUCGGGCGCCUAGCCGCCUAGGCGCCCGUUUAAUCGCUGAUCGGACUUAAGCCGCCGCGACUUUACUCAAUUCGGACAAAAAAAUCGCCAACUGAAAAAUCGGCCCAACAAACCGAUUAAUCGGCCUAUUUAGCGAUUAGUCGGCCCAUUAUUUGGUUAGUCGGCCCGACUAAAAAAUUGCAAACUAUGAAUGUAUUUUUAGGCCUACUAAGAAGCCCAAACACUUGACUAAGUCUCUACUAGGAAGAAGACUAUAUAUAGAUUACAAUUUCCCUUCUUUUUCCCUCACUCACCGAUGUGGGACUUUUGUUAAACAACUUGAUUAAUAAUCGAAAGUAAAUAAAACACACACCCCUGCGGUUCGAAGACAGGUUGAUUGGCGUCAGCACAAGGUCCAAGCCACCAGGAGACGUCAACUUGUUUGUCCAUUCACACAUAUAUUAAUAUAUAUACACAUAUAAAUAGAAUAAAAAUAUAAAAACUAGGCCCCAAUUAAUCCCCGCUUAAUCCCCGAUUUCUUGGUAACUCGCUAGGCCCGGGGUUCCCGCCCGACUAGCGCCUAGCGUAGUUUCGAACAGAGAUUCUUUCAUUUGAUAUUUAUGAUGAUGUGGCUAUUCUUUGGAAAAUACGAACUAUAGACCAAAUAAAC